rnacentral:lncRNA from 1 species
UUUUUCCCAAAGAUUUUGCAGUAUCAGAUCUUCCAUCUCCCCAAAAAUUCUGCAGUGCCAAAUCUUUUACUUUUUCCAAAUCUUGACAAAUUGAUCCUACGAGCAAAUCCUUUUAUUUUCCAAGACAAUCUUCUGGUGUCAAGCUCAUUUUAUACUCCACAAAACCAAAUACAACAAACACCAACAAAACCCACCAUUUCUUCACCCCUGCCACCACAAUUGUGGUGUGUAUGGUUCAACUUCAUACUCCUAUUCUCAACUACAUUUCCGUAAUCUUCAGAAACAAAGAAGAAUUUGUACAGAACCUUUGGAAACAAGAAAACCUAAGGACAUAACAUUUAUACAAUUUCAGAUUUCUCCAAGAACCCAUCUUUCUUUCUUCAAAUCUGAGUUGAAUCCUUCUUGCUUACCUUCGGAACGAGAGUGAGAGUCGAGAAAGUGGUGAGAGCUGGGAGGGGGUCUGUCGGAGCCUCACUCUGAGUUGACGAAGUCGCAGCUGCCGGUGCUGCAGGUGGCGGCAGCCCACCGGCCGCUCGUAGCUAAUGCAGGCGGAGGAGGAGGCGGAGGCCCAAGACGGACGGCUGUUGGCUGGCAGGAGGCAAGGCGACGUGACCCGAGGCGAUGCGAGACGCCGUCGCACGGGGCGGCGCGGCCGAAGGCCAAGCGCCGCUAGCCACUGCGAGAACGGAGCAGCAGCAGCAAGCGCUCGUCCGCUGCCGGAAAC